UUGAACGCUGGCAGCAGGCCUAACACAUGCAAGUCGAGCGGCAGCGCGGGGCAACCUGGCGGCGAGCGGCGGACGGGUGAGUAACGCGUAGGAAUCUACCCAGUAGCGGGGGAUAGCCCGGGGAAACUCGGAUUAAUACCGCAUACGCGCUAAGGGGGAAAGCAGGGGAUCGUAAGACCUUGAACUAUUGGAAGAGCGUGCGUUGGAUUAGCUAGUUGGUAGGGUAAAGGCCUACCAAGGCGACGAUCCAUAACUGGUCUGAGAGGAUGAUCAGUCACACCGGAACUGAGACACGGUCCGGACUCCUACGGGAGGCAGAAGUGGGGAAUAUUGGACAAUGGGGGCAACCCUGAUCCAGCCAUGCCGCGUGUGUGAAGAAGGCCUUCGGGUUGUAAAGCACUUUAAGUGGGGAGAAAGGUUCGGCAGCUAAUACCUGCCGGAAGUGAUGUUACCCACAGAAUAAGCACCGGCUAACGCGGGGCCAGCAGCCGCCGUAA
rnacentral:rRNA from 1 species